UAAAGGGGGGGCAAGCGUUGUUCGGAAUUACUGGGCGUAAAGGGUUCGUAGGUGGCCACUUAAGUCAGACGUGAAAUCCCUCAGCUUAACUGGGGAACUGCGUCUGAUACUGAGUGGCUUGAGUGCAGGAGAGGAAUGCGGAAUUCCAGGUGUAGCGGUGAAAUGCGUAGAUAUCUGGAGGAACACCGGUGGCGAAGGCGGCAUUCUGGACUGUAACUGACACUGAGGAACGAAAGCCAGGGGAGCAAACGGG
rnacentral:rRNA from 1 species